GAAGGGGUCCAAGCGUUGUUCGGAAUUACUGGGCUUAAAGAGCACGUAGGCGGGAAGUUAAGUGUCUUGUGAAAUCCCUCGGGCUCAACCGAGGAACUGCUUGGCAUACUGGCUUCCUUGAGGCAAGUAGAGGUGCAUGGAACUCUAGGUGGAGCGGUGAAAUGCGUAGAUAUCUAGAGGAACGCCAGCGGAGAAAUCGGUGCACUGGGCUUGUCCUGACGCUGAGGUGCGAAAGCGUGGGUAGCGAACGGGAUUAGAUACCCCGGUAGUCCACGCCGUAAACGAUGUCUACUAGGUCGCGGUGGUACUGACGCCUUCGCGGCCGAAGCAAAAGUGUUAAGUAGACCGCCUGGGGAGUACGGUCGCAAGGCUA
rnacentral:rRNA from 1 species